AACGCACGAGACCUGCGGACCUGCGGAAGGAUCAUUACUGAGUGAGGGCCCUCUGGGUCCAACCUCCCACCCGUGUUUAUUGUACCUUGUUGCUUCGGCAGGCCCGCCUCACGGCCGCCGGGGGGCUUUCCGCCCCCGGGCCCGCGCCUGCCGGAGACAAUCUUGAACGCUGUCUGAAGAAUGCAGUCUGAGCGAUUAAGCAAAAUUAGUUAAAACUUUUAACAAUGGAUCUCUAGAUCG
rnacentral:misc_RNA from 1 species